GAUGAACGCUGGCGGCGUGCCUAAUACAUGCAAGUCGAGCGAACAGACGAGGAGCUUGCUCCUCUGACGUUAGCGGCGGACGGGUGAGUAACACGUGGAUACCCUACCUAUAAGACUGGGAUAACUUCGGGAACCCGGAGCUCAUACCGGAUAAUAUAUUGAACCGCAUGGUUCAAUAGUGAAAGACGGUUUUGCUGUCACUUAUAGAUGGAUCCGCGCCGCAUUAGCUAGUUGGUAAGGUAACGGCUUACCAAGGCAACGAUGCGUAGCCGACCUGAGAGGGUGAUCGGCCACACUGGAACUGAGACACGGUCCAGACUCCUACGGGAGGCAGCAGUAGGGAAUCUUCCGCAAUGGGCGAAAGCCUGACGGAGCAACGCCGCGUGAGUGAUGAAGGUCUUCGGAUCGUAAAACUCUGUUAUUAGGGAAGAACAAAUGUGUAAGUAACUAUGCACGUCUUGACGGUACCUAAUCAGAAAGCCACGGCUAACUACGUG
rnacentral:rRNA from 1 species